AUUGAUUCUCAUAUAUCUUUAUGUCUGGCUCCUAAGAGGUCUCAAUAAAUGUUUGUUAAAUACAUGUACGCCUGAAUGAAAAAAAUGUGUAAUGCUUUCCUAAGCCAAGACACUUUAGCUGAAAUGUCUCGCUCUGUCACUCAGCUGGAGUGCAAUGGCAGGAUCUCAGCUCACUGCAACCUUCACCUCCCAGGUUCAAGCAAUUCUCUCACCUCAGCUUCCCAAAUUCUUAUGGUAUAACAUGAUUGCCAGAAACUCAAAGAGAAAAGUAUUUAUUAUAAUUACUGUCAAAGAAAAACAAAGCUGGACACUGAAGUGCUGUUUGGAUGUUUGGAGAAAAGAUUGGGUCUGAUACAAACUGCUUUCCCAUAUCCAGAAACAGAAGUACUCAGUAUUAUGGACUUUGGAAUAUCUAAAGAAUUCAACUCUUUA